rnacentral:rRNA from 1 species
GAUGAACGCUAGCUACAGGCUUAACACAUGCAAGUCGCGGGGUAACAUCUGGGAGAGCUUGCUCUUCCAGGAUGACGACCGGCGCACGGGUGAGUAACGCGUAUCCAACCUGUCCCAUACCACGGGAUAGCCCGUCGAAAGGCGGAUUAAUACCGUAUGCUGUCAUUAAGAUGCAUAUAUUGAUGACGAAAGGACUGGCGGUAUGGGAUGGGGAUGCGUCUGAUUAGCUUGUUGGCGGGGUAACGGCCCACCAAGGCGACGAUCAGUAGGGGUUCUGAGAGGAAGGUCCCCCACAUUGGAACUGAGACACGGCCCAGACUCCUACGGGAGGCAGCAGUGGGGAAUAUUGCACAAUGGGGGAAACCCUGAUGCAGCGACGCCGCGUGAGCGAAGAAGUAUUUCGGUAUGUAAAGCUCUAUCAGCAGGGAAGAAAAUGACGGUACCUGACUAAGAAGCCCCGGCUAACUACGUGCCAGCAGCCGGGU